rnacentral:rRNA from 1 species
GACGAACGCUGGCGGCAUGCCUAAUACAUGCAAGUCGAGCGAACAGAUGAAGUGCUUGCACUUCUGACGUUAGCGGCGAACGGGUGAGUAACACGUAAGGAAUCUACCUAUAAGCGGGGGAUAACAUUCGGAAACGGGUGCUAAUACCGCAUAAUACCUUCUUCCGCAUGGAAGAAGAUUGAAAGACGGCUCUGCUGUCACUUAUAGAUGACCUUGCGGUGCAUUAGUUAAUUGGUGGGGUAAUGGCCUACCAAGACGAUGAUGCAUAGCCGACCUGAGAGGGUGAUCGGCCACAUUGGGACUGAGACACGGCCCAAACUCCUACGGGAGGCAGCAGUAGGGAAUCUUCCGCAAUGGGCGAAAGCCUGACGGAGCAAUGCCGCGUGAGUGAAGAAGGCCUUCGGGUCGUAAAACUCUGUUAUAAGAGAAGAACAAAUUGUAGAGUAACUGCUACAGUCUUGACGGUAUCUUAUCAGAAAGCCACGGCUAACUACGUGCCAGCAGCCGCCGUAA